rnacentral:rRNA from 1 species
GACAGAGGGUGCGAACGUUGCUCGGAAUUAUUGGGCGUAAAGGGCGCGUAGGCGGCUUCGCAAGUGACGGGUGAAAUCCCUCGGCUUAACCGAGGAACUGCCUGUCAAACUGCGUGGCUUGAGACCAGGAGAGGUGAGUGGAAUUCCCAGUGUAGCGGUGAAAUGCGUAGAUAUUGGGAGGAACACCGGUGGCGAAGGCGGCCCCCUGGUUGGAUACUGACGCUGAGACGCGAAAGCGUGGGGAGCAAACAGG